GGAACACACUCGUAGUCCUGGCAGGGUUUAUAAUGUCAGAAAAACAGAGAUUGACAGUUCACAUCAUCAAAGCACACAGGAAAAGGAUUACAUCUGGUUCUUUACACCCUCAAGGCAUGACGAGCAGUAACAUGGGUCAUCCUCUGAUAAUGCCAGGCUUACUACUUCUAAUGCUGAUACCUGCCAUCACAGCUGAUAGCUCCGGUUCUGUCGUCACCAGCUGUGAGGCAUGCCACCCUCAUGCUACCUGUCUUGCUCUCUACUCAACAAUGAGGUUGAGUCUUCCUCAUUCAAGUUAGUCACUUGCAACUGUAAACCAGGCUUUGUCGGCAACGGCAUCACCUGCUACGACCUCAAGCUCUGCGCUGGCGGCUCCUGCUGUCAUCAAGGUUACAGCUGGUCAACGGAGUUAGGCUGUGUGGACGUUGACGAGUGUUCCCUCCCAGACCAACCCUGCAGCCCUCCUCAGGUCUGUGAGAACACCCCCGGAUCCUUCAACUGCUUGGUGCCUCCUGAAGACGACCUCCACUCCAGUCCUGGUGACUCCCGUUCAGUGCAGUUUCAGUGCGGGGGGAGACGGUGUCCAGUGGGAGAGGACUGUAUCAGUGUUGGUGGAACGUCCCUCUGUGCAGACCCUGCCUGCACUACACUGUACUGAAUGAUGCCUGGCGUUCCACCACCAACAACGGCAACGUUAAUGGCGAGCAUUGCGACCAGAGCAUCAACUGGCAGGGCUGGUAUCGCCUGUUCCUUGGGGACACCAGUGUUCAGAUGCCAGAGAGGUGUGUGGAAAGGUACAUGUGUGGAACCGCUGCCCCCAUGU